UACGUAGGGUGCGAGCGUUUGUCCGGAAUUACUGGGCGUAAAGAGCUCGUAGGCGGUCUGUCGCGUCGGCUGUGAAAACUCGGGGCUCAACCCCGAGCCUGCAGUCGAUACGGGCAGACUAGAGUGCUGUAGGGGAGACUGGAAUUCCUGGUGUAGCGGUGAAAUGCGCAGAUAUCAGGAGGAACACCGGUGGCGAAGGCGGGUCUCUGGGCCGAUACUGACGCUGAGGAGCGAAAGCGUGGGGAGCGAACAGG
rnacentral:rRNA from 1 species